AACGCGAAGAACCUUACCUGGGCUUGACAUGUAAUAGACAGUAGCAGAAAUGUUAUCUUCCCGCAAGGGACUGUUACACAGGUGCUGCAUGGCUGUCGUCAGCUCGUGCCGUGAGGUGUUGGGUUAAGUCCCGCAACGAGCGCAACCCUUGUCAUUAGUUGCCAGCGCGUAAAGGCGGGCACUCUAAUGAGACUGCCUAGGUUAACUAGGAGGAAGGUGAGGAUGACGUCAAGUCCGCAUGGCCUUUAUGCCCAGGGCUACACACGUGCUACAAUGGUCGGUACAGAAGGCAGCGAAACCGUGAGGUGGAGCAAAUCCUCAAAGCCGACCCCAGUUCAGAUUGUAGUCUGCAACUCGACUACAUGAAGAUGGAAUUGCUAGUAAUGGCGAGUCAGCAACAUCGCCGUGAAUACGUUCCCGGGCCUUGUACACACCGCGAGC
rnacentral:rRNA from 1 species